rnacentral:rRNA from 1 species
UAGAGUUUGAUCCUGGCUCAGGACGAGCGCUGGCGGCGUGCCUAACACAUGCAAGUCGAGCGAUGAAAUUCCUUCGGGAAUGGAUUAGCGGCGGACGGGUGAGUAACACGUGGGCAACCUGCCUCAAAGUGGGGGAUAGCCUCCCGAAAGGGAGAUUAAUACCGCAUAACAUUAUCUCUUUGCAUGAAGAGAUAAUCAAAGGAGCAAUCCGCUUUGAGAUGGGCCCGCGGCGCAUUAGCUAGUUGGUGAGGUAACGGCUCACCAAGGCGACGAUGCGUAGCCGACCUGAGAGGGUGAUCGGCCACAUUGGAACUGAGAUACGGUCCAGACUCCUACGGGGGGCAGCAGUGGGGAAUAUUGCGCAAUGGGGGAAACCCUGACGCAGCAACGCCGCGUGAGUGAUGAAGGUCUUCGGAUUGUAAAACUCUGUCUUUGGGGACGAUAAUGACGGUACCCAAGGAGGAAGCCACGGCUAACUACGUGCCAGCAGCCGCGGUAAUACGUAGGUGGCAAGCGUUGUCCGGAUUUACUGGGCGUAAAGAGUAUGUAGGCGGACAUUUAAGUCAGAUGUGAAAUCCCCGGGCUUAACCUGGGAGCUGCAUUUGAUACUGGGUGUCUAGAGUGUAGGAGAGGAAAGUGGAAUUCCUAGUGUAGCGGUGAAAUGCGUAGAGAUUAGGAAGAACACCAGUGGCGAAGGCGACUUUCUGGACUAUAACUGACGCUGAGAUACGAAAGCGUGGGGAGCAAACAGGAUUAGAUACCCUGGUAGUNNNCGCC